UACAGAGGGUGCAAGCGUUGUUCGGAAUUAUUGGGCGUAAAGGGCGCGUAGGCGGUGCGGUAAGUCUGUAGUGAAAUCUCUGGGCUCAACUCAGAGUCUGCUAUAGAAACUGCCGUGCUUGAGUGUGGGAGAGGUGAGUGGAAUUCCCAGUGUAGAGGUGAAAUUCGUAGAUAUCGGGAGGAACACCUGUGGCGAAAGCGGCGCACUGGACCAUAACUGACGCUGAUGCGCGAAAGCUAGGGGAGCAAACAGG
rnacentral:rRNA from 1 species